rnacentral:rRNA from 1 species
CAAGCCUGAUCCAGCAAUGCCGCGUGCAGGAUGAAGGCCUUCGGGUUGUAAACUGCUUUUGUACGGAACGAAAAGCCUCUCUCUAAUACAGGGGGGUGAUGACGGUACCGUAAGAAUAAGCACCGGCUAACUACGUGCCAGCAGCCGCGGUAAUACGAAGGGGGCUAGCGUUGUUCGGAAUUACUGGGCGUAAAGCGCACGUAGGCGGAUCGAUCAGUUAGGGGUGAAAUCCCGGGGCUCAACCCCGGAACUGCCUCUAAUACUGUCGAUCUCGAGUUCGAGAGAGGUGAGUGGAAUUCCGAGUGUAGAGGUGAAAUUCGUAGAUAUUCGGAGGAACACCAGUGGCGAAGGCGGCUCACUGGCUCGAUACUGACGCUGAGGUGCGAAAGCGUGGGGAGCAAACA